AUUGAACGCUGGCGGCAGGCUUAACACAUGCAAGUCGAGCGGGGUGAUGGUGCUUGCACUAUCACUUAGCGGCGGACGGGCGAGUAAUGCUUAGGAAUCUGCCUAUUAGUGGGGGACAACAUCUCGAAAGGGAUGCUAAUACCGCAUACGUCCUACGGGAGAAAGCAGGGGAUCACUUGUGACCUUGCGCUAAUUGAUGAGCCUAAGUCGGAUUAGCUAGUUGGUGGGGUAAAGGCCUACCAAGGCGACGAUCUGUAGCGGGUCUGAGAGGAUGAUCCGCCACACUGGGACUGAGACACGGCCCAGACUCCUACGGGAGGCAGCAGUGGGGAAUAUUGGACAAUGGGGGGAACCCUGAUCCAGCCAUGCCGCGUGUGUGAAGAAGGCCUUAUGGUUGUAAAGCACUUUAAGCGAGGAGGAGGCUCUUUUGGUUAAUACCCAAGAUGAGUGGACGUUACUCGCAGAAUAAGCACCGGCCAACUCUGUGCCAGCCGCCGCAGUAA
rnacentral:rRNA from 1 species